UGUGCCUUGUGGUCAAAUGCUCAGUCGUAUGGUGGCUGCUCAUGCACUACGGAUGUUUGAGCAUGUGCCACGUUGUCUA
rnacentral:pre_miRNA from 1 species